AUGUCGCUUCAUAUUUUACAGGCCCAGCCAGGAAUGGUCAUGAAAGCAAAGCACCUGGUCACGCAUGAAGAUUUUUCAUCAGAUUUACACAAAGAAGACCUUUCUUUAAAAAAUAGUUUUUGGAGACACCUGAACCCCUCCCCAUCUGAGGCCAUAAGGGAGAGGUUCAACUGAUUCCUGAGAAGCUACAUGACUAACUUCCCGGCCAACCUUGAGGCCAAGUGGGCUCCAUUAUACUUGAUGUCAUCAGACAGGUGGCCUUGUACCUGGUAUUCAGUCAUGGAGCCUCUCUCCUCUGCAAUCUGAUAGGAUUUGCCUACCCAGCCUACAUCUCAAUUAAAGCCAUAGAAUGUCCCAGCAAAGAAGAUGAUACCCGGUGGUUGACCUACUGGAUAGUGUACGGUGUAUUCAGCAUAGCUGAAUUUCUCUCUGAUCUCUUUCUGUCGUGGUUCCCUGCUACUACUACAAGCUGAAGUGUGGCUUCCUAUUGUGCUGCAUGGCCCCAAGCCCUUCUCAUGGGGUGGAACUGCUCUAUAAGCACAUCAUCAUCCUUUCUUCCUGAAACACAAGUCCCAUAUGGACAUUAUGGUGAAAGCCAAAGUCUAAGCGAUUGCAGAUGCCAUCAUAACCAAGCCAAGAAAGAUACCGUGAAUUUACCAGGCAAAGAAAAGAAGAGCACCUAAACCACUGACCAGAUGAAACCUUUCUGCCCUCUCUGCAUCUUCCUGUUAGAGCUUGAUGUUAUUAGGGACUGUGGUAUAAUCAUUUUAAUAAUGUUGCCUUGGAAACAUUCUCGAUAUAUUAAAAAAUGGAAUGUGUUGU